GAAUGAUGAGUCUAAAUUGUCACUCCUUGCCUUACCUGUUCUGAGAAGAAGGCUCUUGAUUUUCAAGGUCAAAUUCCCACACCUCUCUACCCCAUGUACUCCACGCUUAGAUAACAAUACAGUGCCUCUCUUUCUUUACCUCUUUCCCCACAAUUUCUUCCUUUUUCUUGAAUCCCAGCCCAUCCUUGAGGCCUGCCACCAAUUGGAAGAUCUUCAGUUCCACCUCUUUCCUGGACAUCUGACUGUAUUGCCCAUCAUUGUCUAUGCUCUGCCCACCGAGAAGAUGCAUCUGGAUCCCUGGUGUCACUUAUUGCUGAACUGUUUGAAUACCAAGUUAUACCGACCUGAAUCUCCCAAGUACCAACAGCAGCCUGGCUCGAAGCCAGAAGGAAUGACUGGAUAUCCCAAGUACCUGAUGGCCACAUAAACAUUUGAAGUAUCAAGCAUUAGAAGAAAGUGAGAACGUCAGGCCUGUAAUCCCAGCACUUUGGGAGGCAGGUGGAUCGCUUGAACUCAGGAGUUGGAAACCAGCCUGCGGAAAAUGGUGAAAUCCCAUCUCUACAAAAAUUACAGAAAUUAGCCGGGCAUGGUGGUCCAUACCUGUAGUCCCAGCUACUUGGGGGUCUGAGGCAGCAGGAUCCCUCCUUGAGCCCAGGAGGUCGAGGCUGUGGUGAGCCGAGAUCACGCCACUGCACUCCAGCCUCGGUGACAGCGUGAGACCCUGUCUCAAAAAACAAACAAACAAAAACGCAAACAAAAAACAACAACAAACCUCUAUUCUUUCAGGAAUUUUGAAAUAUACAAUACAUUAUUAUUAACUAGAGUCACCUUGAUGUGCAAUAGAUCUAAAACUGAUUCCUCCUGUCUAACUGAAACUUCGCAUCCUCUGACCAACAUUUCUCAGACCAUAAUCCCUGGUAGCCGCCAUUGUACUCUCUACUUCUACAAGUUUGACAUUCUUAGCAUCUACAUAUAAAUGAUACCAUGCAAUAUUUUUCUUUCUGUGCCUGACUUAUUUCACUUAGCAUAACGUUCUUCAAGUUCAUGCAGGUUAUCAAAAAAUUACAGGAUUUCCUUCUUUUCUACGGCUGAAAGGCUGAAUAUUAUUCUAUUGUGUAUACGUGCCACAUUUUCUUCAUCCAUUCAUCUGCUGAUGGACACUUAGGUUGCUGCCUUAUCUUGGCUGUGGUGAACAGUGCUGCAAUGAAAAUAUCUCACUGAUGUACUGAGCUCAAUUUCUUUGGAUACAUACCCAAAAAUGGGAUUGCUAGACUAUAUGGUAAUUUUAUUUUUAGUUUUUGAGUAAGCUCCACACUGUUUUCCAUAAUGGCUGUACUAAUUUCUAUUUCCACCAAGAGUGUACUUUUCUUCCACAUCCUUGCCAACACUUGUUAUAUUUCAUCGUUUUGAUAAUGAACAUCCUAAUAGGUAUAAGCUGGUAUCUCAUUGUGGUUUUAAUUUGCAUUUACCUGAUAAUUAGUGAUGUUGAUGACUCUUUUUGUAUAUAUCUUGGCAAUUUGUAUGUCUUCUUUUGAGAAAUGUCUAUUUAGGUCUUUUGUUCACUUUUAAAUCUGUUUUAAAUAUUUUCUUUUUAUUGAGUUUUUUGAGUUCCUUAUGUAUUUUGGAUAUUAGCUCCUUAUCAGAUGUAUGGUUUGCAAACUUUCCUCCUGUUUUUUACAGUUUCAGUUAAGCAAAUUGAUAAAUGUGAUUCACCAUAUUAAUAGAAGAAAGGACAAACAACAUAUGAUCAUUUCAAUAGAUGCAGAAAAAGCAUUUGACAAAAUUUAACAUCCUUUCAUGAAAAAACCUCAGUAUAUUAGAUAAGAAGGAAUGUUCCUCAACAUGAUAGAAGCCAUAUAUGACAAGUUCAUAGCUAACAUCAUACUCAAUGGUGAAAAGUUAAUACCUUUUUCUUUAAGACCAGGAAGAAGACAAGGAUUCCCACUUUCAUCACUGCUAUUCAGCAUAGUACUGGAAGUCCUAGCCAGAAAAACUAUGCAAGCAAAAGAAAUAAAAAGCAUCCAUAUAGGAAAAGAAACAGUGAAAUUAUCUCUAUUUGCUGACAACAUAAUCUUACAUAUAGAAAACUCUAAGAUUCCAAAGUCAGAACUGUUAGAAACUAAUAAAUGAAUUCAGUAAAGUUGCAGGAUAUAAAAUCAGCAUACAAAAAUUAGUAGCAUUUCUAUGCACUAACAAUGAACUAUCUAAAAAAGAAAUUAAGAAGACAACUCCAUUUAUGAUAGCAUCAAGGAAAGACAAUAUAGAGGAAUAAUGUUAACCAAGGAAGUGAAAGAUCUGAUCCUGAAACCUACAGGAAAUUGAUGAAAGAAAUUGAAGACAACACAUAUAAAUGAAAAGAUAUCCAGUAUUAAAGGACUGACAGAAUUAAUAUUGUUUAAAUAUCCAUAUCACCCAAAGUGAUCUACAGAUUCAAUGCUAUCCCUAUCAAAAUUCCAACGUCUUUCUUCACAGAUUUAGAAAAAUAAUCCUAAAAUUUGUAUAGAACUACAAAAGACCCAAAUAGCCAAAGCAAUUUUGAGCAAAAAGAACAAAAAGCAUCACACUCCUUGAUUUCAAAAUAUAUUACAAAGCUAUAGUAAUUAAAACAGCAUGGUGGCUGUGCCCAGUGGCUCACACUUGUAAUCCCAGCACUUUGGGAGGCUGAGGCAGGUGGAUCAUGAGGUCAGGAGCUCGAGACCAGCCUGGCCAAGAUGGUGAAACCCCAUCUCUACUAAAAAUACAAAAAUUAGCUGGGCACGGUGGCAAGCACCUGUAAUCCCAGCUACUCAGGAGGCUGAGGCAGGAGAAUCACUUGAACCCGGGAGGCAGAGGUUGCAAUGAGCAAAGAUGGCACCACUGUACUCCAGCCUGGAUGACAGAGUGAGACUCCUUCUCAAAACAAAACAAAACAAAACAGUAUGGUGCUGGCAUAAACACAGACACAUCAACCAAUGGAACAAGAUAGACAGCCCGGAAAUAAACCUAUAUGUUUACAGUUGAUUUAUUUUUGACAAAGGAAUCAAGAACACAAAAUGGGACACGGAUAGUGUCUUCAAUAAAUGGUGUUUGGAAACUGGAUAUCCACAUAUAGAAGAAUAAAACUGUAACCUUAUCUCACCCCAUACACUUUUCAAGCCAAAGUCCUGUGUAUUGCAUGUGAUUGCUGGAAAAUAAAUCAUAACCUUUGUCUUAGUUCAUGCUGCUGUAACAAGAAUAUCAUAGACUUAACGGCUUAAACAACAAACAUUAAUUUCUCACAAUUCUAGAGGCUAGAAGUCUGAGAUCAGGGUGCCGGCAGGGUCAGGUUCUGGUAAGGACCCUCAUCCUGAUUUUCUCACGUGCCAGGAAGGAGAGAGAGAUAGAGGGAUAGAAACAGCAAUCUCUCUUAUGUCUCAAGUCUCUCUCUCUUUUUUAAAAAAAAUUUUAGAG
rnacentral:lncRNA from 1 species